ACGGUCCUAAGGUAGCGAAAUUCCUUGUCGGGUAAGUUCCGACCUGCACGAAUGGCAUAAUGAUGGCCACACUGUCUCCUCCCGAGACUCAGUGAAGUUGAAAUGUUUGUGAUGAUGCAAUCUCCCCGCGGCUAGACGGAAAGACCCCAUGAACCUUUACUGUAGCUUUGCAUUGGACUUUGAACCGAUUUGUGUAGGAUAGGCGGGAGGCAGAGAAAGCGCAACGCCAGUUGUGCCGGAGCCGACGUUGAAAUACCGCCCUGAUUUGUUUGAGGUUCUAACCUGGGACAGUCAUCCUGUCCGGGGACCGUGCAUGGUAGGCAGUUUGACUGGGGCGGUCUCCUCCUAAAGGGUAACGGAGGAGUGCGAAGGUACGCUAGGUACGGUCGGAAAUCGUGCUGAUAGUGCAAUGGCAAAAGCGUGCUUGACUGCGAGACCCACAAGUCGAGCAGAUACGAAAGUAGGUCAUAGUGAUCCGGUGGCUCUGUAUGGAAGGGCCAUCGCUCAACGGAUAAAAGGUACUCUGGGGAUAACAGGCUGAUACCGCCCAAGAGUUCAUAUCGACGGCGGUGUUUGGCACCUCGAUGUCGGCUCAUCUCAUCCUGGGGCUGUAGCCGGUCCCAAGGGUAUGGCUGUUCGCCAUUUAAAGAGGUACGUGAGCUGGGUUUAAAACGUCGUGAGACAGUUUGGUCCCUAUCUGCCGUGGGCGCUGGAAGAUUGACGGGGGCUGCUCCUAGUACGAGAGGACCGGAGUGGACUCACCUCUGGUGUACCGGUUGUCACGCCAGUGGCAUCGCCGGGUAGCUAUGUGCGGAAGAGAUAACCGCUGAAAGCAUCUAAGCGGGAAACUUGCCUGAAGAUAAGUCUUCCUGGAGGCUAGACCUCCCUAAAGAGUCGUUCGAGACCAGGACGUUGAUAGGAUGGGUGUGUAAGUGCUGUGAGGCACUCAGCUAACCAUUACUAAUUGCUCGUGAAGCUUGAUCCU
rnacentral:rRNA from 1 species